GAUGAACAACGUAGCGAAAUGCGAUAAGUAAUGUGAAUUGCAGAAUUCAGUGAAUCAUCGAAUCUUUGAACGCACAUUGCGCCCGCCAGUAUUCUGGCGGGCAUGCCUGUCUGAGCGUCAUUUCAACCCUCAUGCCCCUAGGGCGUGGUGUUGGGGAUCGGCCAAAGCCCGCGAGGGACGGCCGGCCCCUAAAUCUAGUGGCGGACCCGUCGUGGCCUCCUCUGCGAAGUAGUGAUAUUCCGCAUCGGAGAGCGAUGAGCCCCUGCCGUUAAACCCCCAACUUUCCAAGGUUGACCUCAGAUCAGGUAGGAAUACCCGCUGAACUUAAGCAUAUCAAUAAGCGGAGGA
rnacentral:misc_RNA from 1 species